rnacentral:rRNA from 1 species
UCCGCCGCCNUAGGAUGGGUCUGCGCCGGAUUAGGUCGUUGGCAAGGUAAUGGCUCACCAAGCCUUUGAUCCGUACGGGCCNUGAGAGGGGUAGCCCGAAGAAGGUCACUGAGACACGGACCCUAGCCCUACGGGGUGCAGCAGGCGCGAAACCUUUACAAUGCACGCAAGUGUGAUAAGGGAAUUCCAAGUGCUCAUGCUUUGCAUGGGCUUUUGCCAAGAGUAAAUAUCUUGGCGAAUAAGUGGUGGGCAAGACUGGUGCCAGCCGCCGCGGUAACACCAGCGCCACAAGUGGGGAUCAUAUUUAUUUGGCCUAAAGCGUUCGUAGCCGGCUUGACAAAUUCUUUGUGAAAUCGUUUUGCUUAACAUGACGACGUGCAGAGGAGACUAUCAAGCUUGAGACUGGGAGGGGUUAGAGGUACUCUUGGGGUAGCGGUAAAAUGUUAUAAUCCCAAGAAGACCACCUAUGGCGAAGGCGUCUGACCAGAACGGAUCUGACGGUGAGGAACGAAAGCUAGGGGAGCAAAACGGAUUAGAUACCCGAGUAGUCCUAGCCGUAAACGCUGCGAGUUAGGUGUUGUGUAUUCUUCGAGGAUAUGCAGUAUCGAAGCGAAGGCGUUAAACUCGCCGCCUGGGAAGUACGGUCGCAAGACUGAAACUUAA